rnacentral:rRNA from 1 species
GAUGAACGCUAGCUACAGGCUUAACACAUGCAAGUCGAGGGGCAGCAUUUCAGUUUGCUUGCAAACUGGAGAUGGCGACCGGCGCACGGGUGAGUAACACGUAUCCAACCUGCCGAUAACUCGGGGAUAGCCUUUCGAAAGAAAGAUUAAUACCCGAUGGUAUAAUCAGACCGCAUGGUCUUGUUAUUAAAGAAUUUCGGUUAUCGAUGGGGAUGCGUUCCAUUAGGCAGUUGGUGAGGUAACGGCUCACCAAACCUUCGAUGGAUAGGGGUUCUGAGAGGAAGGUCCCCCACAUUGGAACUGAGACACGGUCCAAACUCCUACGGGAGGCAGCAGUGAGGAAUAUUGGUCAAUGGGCGCAGGCCUGAACCAGCCAAGUAGCGUGAAGGAUGACUGCCCUAUGGGUUGUAAACUUCUUUUAUAUGGGAAUAAAGUUUUUCACGUGUGGAAUUUUGUAUGUACCAUAUGAAUAAGGAUCGGCUAACUCCGUGCCAGCAGCCGCGGUAAUACGGAGGAUCCGAGCGUUAUCCGGAUUUAUUGGGUUUAAAGGGAGCGUAGGUGGACAGUUAAGUCAGUUGUGAAAGUUUGCGGCUCAACCGUAAAAUUGCAGUUGAUACUGGCUGUCUUGAGUACAGUAGAGGUGGGCGGAAUUCGUGGUGUAGCGGUGAAAUGCUUAGAUAUCACGAAGAACUCCGAUUGCGAAGGCAGCUCACUGGACUGCAACUGACACUGAUGCUCGAAAGUGUGGGUAUCAAACAGGAUUAGAUACCCUGGUAGUCCACACAGUAAACGAUGAAUACUCGCUGUUUGCGAUAUACAGUAAGCGGCCAAGCGAAAGCAUUAAGUAUUCCACCUGGGGAGUACGCCGGCAACGGUGAAACUCAAAGGAAUUGACGGGGGCCCGCACAAGCGGAGGAACAUGUGGUUUAAUUCGAUGAUACGCGAGGAACCUUACCCGGGCUUAAAUUGCAUUUGAAUAUAUUGGAAACAGUAUAGCCGUAAGGCAAAUGUGAAGGUGAUGCAUGGUUGUCGUCAGCUCGUGCCGUGAGGUGUCGGCUUAAGUGCCAUAACGAGCGCAACCCUUAUCUUUAGUUACUAACAGGUCAUGCUGAGGACUCUAGAGAGACUGCCGUCGUAAGAUGUGAGGAAGGUGGGGAUGACGUCAAAUCAGCACGGCCCUUACGUCCGGGGCUACACACGUGUUACAAUGGGGGGUACAGAAGGCAGCUACCUGGUGACAGGAUGCUAAUCCCAAAAGCCUCUCUCAGUUCGGAUCGAAGUCUGCAACCCGACUUCGUGAAGCUGGAUUCGCUAGUAAUCGCGCAUCAGCCACGGCGCGGUGAAUACGUUCCCGGGCCU